GAUGAACGCUGGCGGUAUGCUUAACACAUGCAAGUCGAACGGACUCUUCGUAGUUAGUGGCGGGCGGGUGAUUAACGCGUGAGAAUCUGGCUUUGGGUUCGGGACCACCACUGGAAACGGUGGCUAAUACCGGAUGUGCCGAGUGGUAAAAGAGAACUUGCCUGAAUAUGAGCUCGCGUCUGAUUAGCUAGUUGUUGUGGUAAAGUCUCACCAAGGCAGCGAUCAGUAGCUGGUCUGAGAGGAUGACCAGCCACACUGGGACUGAGAGACGGCCGAGACUAAUACGGGGGGAAGAAGUGGAGAAUGAUCCGCAAUGGGCGAAAGAGUGACGGAGCAAUACCGCGUGAGGGAAGAAGGCGAUAGGGGUGUAAGACUGUGUUCUUAGGGAAGAACAAAAUGACGGUACCUAAGGAAUAAGCAUCGGCUAACUACGUG
rnacentral:rRNA from 1 species